CCGAAGGUAGUUUAACCUAAAACCAAGCCUUUUCGUGGCUUCGAUGGGACCAUCGUGGUCGCCCCUCGGC
rnacentral:tRNA from 1 species